rnacentral:rRNA from 1 species
GAUGAACGCUGGCGGCGUGCCUAAUACAUGCAAGUCGAGCGAACAGAUGAGGAGCUUGCUCCACUGACGUUAGCGGCGGACGGGUGAGUAACACGUGGAUAACCUACCUAUAAGACUGGGAUAACUUCGGGAAACCGGAGCUAAUACCGGAUAAUAUAUUGAACCGCAUGGUUCAAUAGUGAAAGACGGUUUUGCUGUCACUUAUAGAUGGAUCCGCGCCGCAUUAGCUAGUUGGUAAGGUAACGGCUUACCAAGGCGACGAUGCGUAGCCGACCUGAGAGGGUGAUCGGCCACACUGGAACUGAAACACGGUCCAGACUCCUACGGGAGGCAGCAGUAGGGAAUCUUCCGCAAUGGGCGAAAGCCUGACGGAGCAACGCCGCGUGAGUGAUGAAGGUCUUCGGAUCGUAAAACUCUGUUAUUAGGGAAGAACAAAUGUGUAAGUAACUAUGCACGUCUUGACGGUACCUAAUCAGAAAGCCACGGCUAACUACGUG